GUUGUGGCUCAGUGGUAAGAUGUUCACUUAGCACGUGUGAGGCCCUGGGUUCGAUCCUCAGCACCACA
rnacentral:tRNA from 1 species